AGUGAACGCUGGCGGUAGGCCUAACACAUGCAAGUCGAACGGCAGCACAGUAAGAGCUUGCUCUUACGGGUGGCGAGUGGCGGACGGGUGAGGAAUACAUCGGAAUCUACUUUUUCGUGGGGGAUAACGUAGGGAAACUUACGCUAAUACCGCAUACGACCUACGGGUGAAAGCAGGGGAUCUUCGGACCUUGCGCGAAUGAAUGAGCCGAUGUCGGAUUAGCUAGUUGGCGGGGUAAAGGCCCACCAAGGCGACGAUCCGUAGCUGGUCUGAGAGGAUGAUCAGCCACACUGGAACUGAGACACGGUCCAGACUCCUACGGGAGGCAGCGGUGGGGAAUAUUGGACAAUGGGCGCAAGCCUGAUCCAGCCAUACCGCGUGGGUGAAGAAGGCCUUCGGGUUGUAAAGCCCUUUUGUUGGGAAAGAAAAGCAGCAGGUUAAUACCCCGCUGUUCUGACGGUACCCAAAGAAUAAGCACCGGCUAACUUCGUG
rnacentral:rRNA from 1 species